CUGAUCUUUCCCAUGUGCAUCAGCUUUGACAAGCUUUGAAUAAAAUUCCUUUGAAACUUUCCCAUCAUCCCCAGCAAUUUCCUCAACAUGUAUGAAAGCAACACGUAGUGCUUCAUUCCUUGCAUAACACAUCAUCCCCAGCAAUUUCCUCAACAUGUAUGAAAGCAACACGCAGUGCUUCAUUCCUUGCAAAAAACAUAAGAAACACGAAGUAAGGCAUCGUUAAAUGAUAAGUGUGGACAUAAACAUAAGUAUUGCACCACUCAAUGAAUAAUUGUUUAUUACAUCCUUGCGAUAAAACACACAGAGGCAAAGAGAGAUGGAAACAGAAUUAUUUUUCAGUUCUUGCUCAACUAUCACGCAUAUGAUUGCUAAUUUAGGGUGUUUACUUACUAAAUCAAGAAAAGAAAGACUUUCGGAAUAUAAGACAAGGAAACCG
rnacentral:lncRNA from 1 species